rnacentral:rRNA from 1 species
UACGUAGGGGGCGAGCGUUGUCCGGAUUCAUUGGGCGUAAAGCGCGCGCAGGCGGCCGGCAGAGCCCGGCGUGAAAGCUCCCAGCUUAACUGGGAGAGGUCGUCGGGGACCUGCUGGCUGGAGGCCGGUAGGGGUGAGCGGAAUUCCCGGUGUAGUGGUGGAAUGCGUAGAGAUCGGGAGGAACACCGGUGGCGAAGGCGGCUCACUGGGCCGGUCCUGACGCUCAGGCGCGAAAGCGUGGGGAGCGAUCCGGAUUAGAAACCCCAGUAGUCC